UUACGGUCAAAUCACGCUGAAACACCGGUUCUCGUACGAUUAAGCAGCGUAGAGCCAGGUCAGUACUUAGAUGGGGGACCGCUUGGGAACACCUGGUACUGUAAG